rnacentral:sRNA from 1 species
CUCCCAUUUUCCUCCAUCACUUUUUCUGUUGUUCACCGUUAAAAGAUUGAAAUUCUUGGUUCUCCGAAAACCAGAGAAGGAGAAGCUCAGAAAUCGAAGAUUUCAGAUCAUGAGUCUUGGAAUGUCGUCUUUUACAAGUCGACCCAAUGCUGUAACGGUACAUCAUGAUGUUAAAUUUACCUAAUUUUUCGAUUUGGAUUUAGUUCAGAAUUUUUGGGUUUUUUUACUGUUCAAUGGAGCAUUAGUUAAGGUAGUGGGAAAUGAAAGUUGUCCUGUUAAUUUGUUGCAGCCACCAUGUCCUCUGAAAGACGACACUCAUGUAAGAGCAAGAGGCGAUCGAGCUACUGACAAAUUAUAGUCACAAUCUAGCUGAAAUUCAAAACCGCUUGGCUGAAAGGGUUUUUGAGAGAUGAGUUUUUCUCCGUCUUCCUCUUUGGUCAUCAAAGGACUUUCUUUUCGCAGGCCCACUUCAAAUCGAAUAGAUGGAAGCUACCAACCCCAUCUCUUGGAAAGUAAAUUCUGGAGUUAUUAACUUUUAUGAAAAUAUUUUAUUAGGCUUUUUUUUAUUAAGCGAAAUUAGAUACCCAUUUUAUUAAUUUAUGGAGUUUGCUGGGUUGGUAGCUUCCAUCUAUUCGGUUUGAAUUCCAGGACAAGAAAAAGCAGAUUUCAAAGGAAAAGCAAAGGAUUUUACACCCACUGCUGCGAAGGUACAUACAAUGUGAUGUUAAAUUUACCCAAUUGUUCGAUUUGGAUAUAGUUCAGAGUUUCUGGGUUUUUGACUUGGUUAAAGUAGUGAUCUUUGUGUCCGUACAGUUGCAGUGGGGAAUGAAAAUUGUCUUGUUAAUUUGUUGCACAGCAAGAUAUU